rnacentral:rRNA from 1 species
AUGGUUGCUACUCAAGCUGAGCAAGUACUAAAAGCUCAAAAUGAUUUGCUUGAGGAAUUGAAUAAUAAAAAUGACUUUGCUGUUAGAAUGGCUACUAGAACUGGUAGAAUGACUCAGGAACCUUUGUAUCCUGAAGGCCACCCUAAGAGAAUCGAGCAAGAUUCUCAGAGAAAUAAUUUAGAGGCACCUAGUUCUUCUAAAAAGAAGCAAAAUAAAAACGAUAGGACUUUGCAUGCUUCUAGUGAAUCUAUUGUAGACACACCUGAGAAUCCCAAUGAUAUUUCUAUUUCUGAUGCUGAAAUACAAUCAGGUGAUGAACAUGAACCUAGUGAUAAUGUUAAUGAUAAUGUCCAUGUUGAUGCUCAACCUAGCAGAGACAAUGAUGUAGAGAUUGAACCUGCUGUUGAUCUUGAUGACCCACAAUCAAAGAAUCAACAUUAUGAUAAGAGAGAUUUUGUUGCUAGGAAGCACAGUAAAUAA